rnacentral:lncRNA from 1 species
AAAGUAUAUUAUAUGGCCACGAAUAGACCAGAAGUCCUGCUUUAAAUCCAUGAUCACUGCAGGUUUUGAGCCUGUGGUGAUAGAAAAUGUUUUGGAAGGUGACGAGCUGCGUACAGACCUGAAAGCAGUGGAGGCUAAAGUCCAGGAACUUGGGCCUGAUUGCAUUCUGUGUAUUCAUUCUACUACAUCCUGUUUUGCUCCAAGGGUGCCUGAUAGGAAGAGCUUCAGCUUCACCUUCUUUAGAUGUCCUUAUUACUUUAUUGUCACUUGGAUCAAAUGGCUAUAAGAAGCUACUAAAAGAAAGAAAGCUAUGACACUUAAAACACUAGAUGAACACCGUGACAAAGCUGUCACUCAGCUUGGCUCGAUGCUUUUUACCAGACAGGUUUCUGGAGCCAGGGUUGUGCCUCUUGGGUCCAUGCAAACUGUGAGUGGCUAUACUUUCAGAGGCUUUAUGUCACAUACAAAUAAUUACCCUUGUGCUUACCUCAAUGCUGCAUCAGCCAUCGGAAUGAAGAUGCAGGAUGUGGACCUGUUCAUAAAG